GAUGAACGCUGGCGGCGUGCCUAAUACAUACAAGUCGAGCGAACGGACGAGAAGCUUGCUUCUCUGAUGUUAGCGGCGGACGGGUGAGUAACACGUGGAUAACCUACCUAUAAGACUGGGAUAACUUCGGGAAACCGUAGCUAAUACCGGAUAAUAUUUUGAACCGCAUGGUUCAAAAGUGAAAGACGGUCUUGCUGUCACUUAUAGAUGGAUCCGCGCUGCAUUAGCUAGUUGGUAAGGUAACGGCUUACCAAGGCAACGAUGCAUAGCCGACCUGAGAGGGUGAUCGGCCACACUGGAACUGAGACACGGUCCAGACUCCUACGGGAGGCAGCAGUAGGGAAUCUUCCGCAAUGGGCGAGAGCCUGACGGAGCAACGCCGCGUGAGUGAUGAAGGUCUUCGGAUCGUAAAACUCUGUUAUUAGGGAAGAACAUAUGUGUAAGUAACUGUGCACAUCUUGACGGUACCUAAUCAGAAAGCCACGGCUAACUACGUG
rnacentral:rRNA from 1 species